rnacentral:rRNA from 1 species
AUUGAACGCUGGCGGAAUGCUUUACACAUGCAAGUCGAACGGCAGCACGGACUUCGGUCUGGUGGCGAGUGGCGAACGGGUGAGUAAUGUAUCGUAACGUGCCCAGUCGUGGGGGAUAAGGUAGUGAAAAUUACGCUAAUCCCGCAUACGAUCUAUGGAUGAAAGCGGAGGCUCGCAAGACUUCGCGCGAUUGGAACUGCCGAUAUCAGAUUAGGCAGUUGGUGGGGUAAAGGCCCACCAAGCCAACGAUCUGUAGCUGGUCUGAGAGGAAGACCAGAGACGCUGGAACUGAGUCACGGUCCAGACUCAUACGGGAGGCAGCAGAGGGGAAAUGUGGACAAUGGGCGAAAGCCAGAUCCAGCCAUUCCGAGUGCAGGAUGAAGGCCUUCGGGUUGUAAACUGCUUAUGUACAGAACGAAAAGGUUUCUACUAAUACUAGGAGCUCAUGACGGUACUGUAAGAAUAAGCACCGGCUAACUACGUGCCAGCAGCCGCCGUAA